rnacentral:rRNA from 1 species
UACGUAGGGUGCAAGCGUUGUCCGGAAUUAUUGGGCGUAAAGAGCUCGUAGGCGGUUUGUCGCGUCUGCUGUGAAAACUCGGGGCUUAACUCCGGGCCUGCAGUGGGUACGGGCAGACUAGAGUGCGGUAGGGGAGACUGGAAUUCCUGGUGUAGCGGUGAAAUGCGCAGAUAUCAGGAGGAACACCGGUGGCGAAGGCGGGUCUCUGGACAUUUCCUGACGCUGAGGCACGAAAGCCAGGGGAGCAAACGGG